GCCGUCGACCUCGCCGUCGUCUGAGCUGCGCGCCGACAUCAAACCUCCAUCCCGAGCCCUAGCUACUCGGCCGUCGUCUGAGAUUACAACAUGCCACGAGGAAGACGUUUCAGAGAUAUUGAGUUUCAGCACACAUCCGUGGGAUCUACUUUUGAUCGUUCCCAGCAGCCCGAUGAGCCCCAUACUCAGUCUGUGUCCCAGUCU